CUGUUAAACCCUAAAUCCCAAAAACCUCCAUUAAACGAAGUUCAAUUUCUGCAAUUCUUCUUCUUCGGUCUCUUGAAAGAAUCAAGCUUCCGUUAAAUGACGAUGGAAAUUGACAGAUUAGAUGGUCGUACACCGAACCAGUUGAGACCACUGGCCUGUACUCGCAACGUUCUCAACCGAGCUCAUGGCUCUGCCAGUUGGUGUCAAGGGGAUAUACCAAAGUUCUUGCUGCAGUUUAUGGACCCAAAGCGGGGACAAAGAAGAAUGAAAACCCUGAAAAGGCUUGCAUUGAGGUUAUUUGGAAGCCUAAAACAGGCCAGGGUGG